GGCUUCCGGAGCUAACGCGUUAAAUCGACCGCUGGGGAGUACGGCCGCAAGGUUAAAACUCAAAUGAAUUGACGGGGGCCCGCACAAGCGGUGGAGCAUGUGGUUUAAUUCGAUGCAACGCGAAGAACCUUACCUGGUCUUGACAUCCAGGUGCUGCAUGGCUGUCGUCAGCUCGUGUUGUGAAAUGUUGGGUUAAGUCCCGCAACGAGCGCAACCCUUAUCCUUUGUUGCAACUCAAAGGAGACUGCCAGUGAUAAACUGGAGGAAGGUGGGGAUGACGUCAAGUCAUCAUGGCCCUUACGACCAGGGCUACACACGUGCUACAAUGGCAUAUACAAAGAGAAGCGACCUCGCGAGAGCAAGCGGACCUCAUAAAGUAUGUCGUAGUCCGGAUUGGAAUCUGCAACUCGACUCCAUGAAGUCGGAAUCGCUAGUAAUCGUAGAUCAGAUGCUACGGUGAAUACGUUCCCGGGCCUUGUACACACCGCCCGUCACACCAUGGGAGUGGGUUGCAAAAGAAGUAGGUUACCACUUUGUGAUUCAUGACUGGGGUGAAGCGUAACAAGUAACCAAGG
rnacentral:rRNA from 1 species